GAGUUUUGAUCAUGGCUCAGGAUGAACGCUAGCUACAGGCUUAACACAUGCAAGUCGAGGGGCAGCAUGAACUUAGCUUGCUAAGUUUGAUGGCGACCGGCGCACGGGUGAGUAACACGUAUCCAACCUGCCGAUGACUCGGGGAUAGCCUUUCGAAAGAAAGAUUAAUACCCGAUGGCAUAGUUCUUCCGCAUGGUAGAACUAUUAAAGUAAUUU
rnacentral:rRNA from 1 species